AAUGAACGCUGGCGGCAGGCAUAACACAUGCAAGUCGAGCGAGCGGCGGAAGGGUGAGGAAGGGAUGGGGACUGCCCGAUGGAGGGGGUUAACUAAGGGAAACGGUAGCUAAGAACGACUACAAUCGGACAAACCAUAUGGGAUUAGCUAGUAGGUGAGGUAAUGGCUCACCUAGGCGACGAACCCUAGCUGGUCGGAGAGGAUGAUCAGCCACACUGGGACUGAGCCACGGCCCAGGCUCCUACGGAGGCAGCAGUGGGGAAUAUUGCACAAUGGGCGCAAGCCUGAUGCAGCCAUGCCGCGUGUAUGAAGAAGGCCCUAGGGUUGUAAAGUACUUUCAGUCGGGAGGCGUUACCGACAGAAGAAGCACCGGCUAACUCCGUGCCAGCAGCCGCGGUAAUAC
rnacentral:rRNA from 1 species